GGAGGAGCUGCACUGACGGUGACAGCAUUUUUGGCAAUGGCUUGGCCUUCAUCCUAAGGAAAGCAAGGGAACUGAAAUCCCAGACUGCUAAUUACACCCUGAGAUUCCAACAGAAGAGAGUGGUUUCCAUUAGGAAAUCUCAAUGCUAAGUGCCAACAGGGCUGGAGAGGGAAUGGAGGCUUUACUGAGGAAAUUAGGGAAUUACUGAAGGGAGCCAUGGAGGAGAAGAAUUUCACUCCACCAUUCAGACACAAUGGAGAAGUGUGUAAGGUCAGUGGACACAUCCAGUGACCAGUAGGCAGGACGCCUACAUCUUUUUGCUGAGGGAAGUCUCCCCAUUGCA
rnacentral:lncRNA from 1 species